rnacentral:rRNA from 1 species
UACGAAGGGUGCAAGCGUUAUCCGGAAUUAUUGGGCGUAAAGAGCUCGUAGGCGGUUUGUCGCGUCUGCUGUGAAAACUGGAGGCUCAACCUCCAGCCUGCAGUGGGUACGGGCAAACUAGAGUGCGGUAGGGGAGAUUGGAAUUCCUGGUGUAGCGGUGGAAUGCGCAGAUAUCAGGAGGAACACCGAUGGCGAAGGCAGAUCUCUGGGCCGUAACUGACGCUGAGGAGCGAAAGCAUGGGGAGCGAACAGG